rnacentral:tRNA from 1 species
CAUAAACAUACUCGUUUAUAUUAAUUCAGCAUCGAACAAUACUAGUUCUGCAAGUGUUAGGCUAUAUAACACUUAAAUAUGAUGUUUGUGAUGUUACUCUGAGUUACACCGGGCAAGCUGAAAAGUUUUGCCUGACCACGGUGGGAAUCGGAACCCGCGACCUUUGGGAUACUAGUCCAAUGCUCUACCAACUAAGCUACGAGAUCAAGUCGGUUCGAGUUGAUAAUAUUUCGGAACUGAGUCUAUAUAGUUCCUUCGAUAUCAAUGUAUUCUAAGGUAUGAUACUUUUUGUGUUUGUUGAUGUUAUGUACUUAUGUGAAUAUGUAGUUGUGGUGUUACUCUGAGCGUAUAUCCACACCGGGCAAGCUGAAAAGUUUGCCUGACCACGGUGGGAAUCGAACCCGUGACCUUUGGGAUACAUCGAUAUCGAAGGAACUAGACUCAGUUCCGAAAUAUAGCAUCAACUCGAACCGACUUGAUCUCGUAGCUCAGUUGGUACAGCAAUAGGACUAGUAUCCCAAAGAUCGCAGGUUCGAUUCCCACCUUGGUCAGGCAAACUUUUCAGCUUGCUCGGUGUCGAUGCAUACUCGAGUAACACCACAAACAUCAUACCAAAUAAGUCAAAACACUUGGGAUUCUGGGGGUGGGACUAACUCACGCGGGCGUUCGUUGCGGGUUAGUAUUGGGGUAUUAGAGAUUACGAAACCGGAUGUCAAUUAAUUAAGUUUAUUGAUAUCACCCGCAACGAACGCCCAUGCAUGAGUUACGCAAUUUAGACAAACCCUCCUUCUGCAUGCUGUAGCUACAAUCUCAGUUGGACAUAACUGGUCGAAACUGUUUUUCCCCCAUAUAAAAUUCGCAUAUUUUUAUGACAAACUCCAUGUUGAGUCAUGUUGCCUUUCUUAAGCCCCCACUCCCCCAACUCAAUGUUGAGCUUGUGUCAUGGUAUAUUACCAAAAGUUGUUUCGGCAUUGUUUACAACAUUGAACUGAGGGGAGGGGGAGACAAAGUUUGUUUUGUCAAUGUUCAAUAACUUUGUAAUAUUGGCUGGAAUGGUAUCAAGCGUUUUGUCCACGAUUGUAGCUCAUUAAAAUCCAAUACGUCAUGUGUUCAAGUAUGUGGGUUGUCUGUGGGAUAUGUUUUAGCUCAUUGUGACUCGGUAGGCAGUUUAUGGGUUGUUUGUGAUCAGUUUUUUUUUCAAUUAAGGAUCACUUUGGCUCGUUAUUUCGUCCCUGAGACGUUUGGUUGGUUGGUUGAUUGUUACGCAAGGAUAUAUUAUAGUGCGUGAUAUAUUUAUACAGUGUGAUAUAACAUUUUGAUAUCACUGAUAAACAUAUCAUUUGUGGUAACUUAGUAUAAGAGUACGAUAAUAACUUCAUGCAGAGAAGGAUCCCAUGCCCUACAGCCCCGUACAGACGAGCUAGUUUUCUUUGUCAACUUUUAUUUAUUCGUGUGUACCCUUUUUUCGCUGUGUAUGCUUUGUUCAAACGCUGGUCAUGCCAGGAAAAUCUUGACAAGUAAGUAGUACGUCAAUAACGUCACUGCAUGUGCACUCAACUUUGAGCGGCCAUUGCCAUUAAAUCUCAUUUAUUUUGAACUCCACUCUGAAGUUUUUUAAUUUUGUUGGAAGCAAUUUUGGACGAACAUUAUCAUGAAAAUGUUUACCUACUUUAAAAAUACCUCAUAAAACUUGUCAAGGAAAAAUUGAAUUGAUUGAAAAAAUUCGUACACGAGCAAGUAAAUCCGUCAAGGAGAACUUCAAGUGUUCGUCUGUACGGGGCUAAACUUUUCCAUAAAAAAAUAAUUCUAUAUUCGUUGCUUUUGAAUAUCAUUCCUUUCAUUUCUACAUAUAAUUUACACAUUGACAUAUAGAUUAUAGAAUCUUCUCGCGUUCAGAAUGUAGUUUUGUAUUCAUGUUGGAAUCGGCAACAUGCAUAUGAUUUCAUAACUGGGAGAAAGGAAAUUAGUAGCUGUCAUUCCAGAAAUUGCCAGUAUGUAGAUUAUACAUUUUUCUAUAUUCUCGACAAGUCUCGAUUAUUCGUCGCAAAGCCAAAGGUGCGGCCGAACAUGCUUGUAUAAAGAUGCGGUUGAACUCUCUUAUCUGCCGGAUGAGGAUUGUUAGCUACAAAGCAAGUUGCUGACAGAGUGCG